GACGAACGCUGGCGGCGUGCCUAAUACAUGCAAGUCGAACGCUUCUUUCCUCCCGAGUGCUUGCACUCAAUUGGAAAGAGGAGUGGCGGACGGGUGAGUAACACGUGGGUAACCUACCCAUCAGAGGGGGAUAACACUUGGAAACAGGUGCUAAUACCGCAUAACAGUUUAUGCCGCAUGGCAUAAGAGUGAAAGGCGCUUUCGGGUGUCGCUGAUGGAUGGACCCGCGGUGCAUUAGCUAGUUGGUGAGGUAACGGCUCACCAAGGCCACGAUGCAUAGCCGACCUGAGAGGGUGAUCGGCCACACUGGGACUGAGACACGGCCCAGACUCCUACGGGAGGCAGCAGUAGGGAAUCUUCGGCAAUGGACGAAAGUCUGACCGAGCAACGCCGCGUGAGUGAAGAAGGUUUUCGGAUCGUAAAACUCUGUUGUUAGAGAAGAACAAGGACGUUAGUAACUGAACGUCCCCUGACGGUAUUUAACCAGAAAGCCACGGCUAACUACGUG
rnacentral:rRNA from 1 species